UACGUAGGGGGCGAGCGUUGUCCGGAAUUAUUGGGCGUAAAGAGCUCGUAGGCGGUGUGUCGCGUCUGCUGUGAAAACCUAGGGCUUAACUCUGGGCGUGCAGUGGGUACGGGCAGGCUAGAGUGCGGUAGGGGAGACUGGAAUUCCUGGUGUAGCGGUGAAAUGCGCAGAUAUCAGGAGGACACCGGUGGCGAAGGCGGGUCUCUGGGCCGUAACUGACGCUGAGGAGCGAAAGCGUGGGGAGCGAACAGG
rnacentral:rRNA from 1 species